CCUAAGGUAGCGAAAUUCCUUGUCAGGUAAGUUCUGACCCGCACGAAAGGCGUAACGAUUUGGGCGCUGUCUCAGCUGUAGACUCGGUGAAGUCUUAGUACCUGUGAAGAUGCAGGUUACCCGCGACUAGACGGAAAGACCCCAUGGAGCUUCACUGCAGGUUGAUAUUGGGAUUUGAUGCAGCAUGUACAGGAUAGGUAGGAGGCAAAGAGAUGGAUACGCCAGUAUUCAAGGAGCCGCUGUUGGGAUACUACCCCUGUUGUAUUGGAUUUCUAACCGGACGACGUAGAGCCGUUGACGGGACAGUGUCAGUCGGGCAGUUUGACUGGGGCGGUCGCCUCCCAAAGAGUAACGGAGGCGCCCAAAGGUACGCUCAGAUUGGAUGGAAACCAAUCGUCGAGUGCAAUUGCAGAAGCGUGCUUGACUGUGAGACAAACAAGUCGAACAGGGACGAAAGUCGGGAAUAGUGAUCCGGCGGUGCCGAAUGGAAGGGCCGUCGCUCAACGGAUAAAAGCUACCCUGGGGAUAACAGGCUGAUCUCGCCCAAGAGUUCACAUCGACGGCGAGGUUUGGCACCUCGAUGUCGGCUCAUCGCAUCCUGGAGCUGGAUUCGGUUCCAAGGGUUGGGCUGUCCGCCCAUUAAAGCGGUACGCGAGCUGGGUUCAGAACGUCGUGAGACAGUUCGGUCCCUAUCUGUUGUGGGCGAAGGAGAUCUGCGGAGAGCUGUCCUCAGUACGAGAGGACCGGGAUGGACCUACCGCUGGUGCACCGGUUGUUCCGCCAGGGGCAUAGCCGGGUAGCUAAGUAGGGAAAGGAUAAGCGCUGAAAGCAUCUAAGCACGAAGCCUACUCCAAGAUGAGAUCUCCCAUUCGCAAGAAGUAAGACCCCUUAAAGACGAUAAGGUAGAUAGGCCAGGGAUGGAAGUGCAGUGAUGUACGGAGUUGACUGGUACUAAUCGGUCGAGGACUUAAUCAG
rnacentral:rRNA from 1 species